GGAUAUGGCAUGUUGGCUAUAUCCCCAAGGACAGCAGUCUUUGAGAGCAUUGGAAGUAGGAGGUAAGAUGGGGGUGGCUAGGACAUUUUCAAGUCCUGAAAGAAGCUGUGUGGCAAGUCAACUGGGGCAAUGCGAGCUAUUCUGGAAUCACCAAUCUUCAACUGGACAUCAGAGGAUGGCUACUGAAUUUGAAUGAUGACUCAAGUCUUCUGCAGUCCAUUAGCUAUAAGACCCUCAGGCAGGUGUCUUCUGAAAUAUGAAGAGAAAAUUAAGCAUGAAAAGUUUGUUGCAUGUCUUGUUUGUGUUAUAACUCAGCUUGAGACAAAGUGAGCUUUGUGGAGUCUUACCCUCUCUUCCCUAGUGAGCUUGGAAUUGGAUAUUAAAGGAAAAAACAAAGAGAUAUUUGUCUUAGAGCUUAGAGCACUGAACAAAACAGAGUGUGUGUGGGGGGGCAGUUAACUCUUUUGUGCUUCAAGGUAGCUGUUGCUAUGCAUUUUAUAUACACAUACAUGCUCAUAGAAAGCAGCAAAAACAUAAUAUUCAUAAUAAAGUGUAUGGGGAAAUUGACUUUAUGUAUAUAUUGUACCCAGUAGUAUAGUUAGAAAAAAAAAAAAGAAUAACGAGUUCAUGUUUUGGCCACUUCAAUAAGAAAUGCUUUCUUUCUAUGUAGCUCAAGGUAACAAGAUCCAGAUGAAAAGAAAUGACACCACUCAGAGCAAAAUAGCAUUUAUUUCUCACUGUCUCUAGUAAUGUGUGAGGGAGGAAGCAGGGGGCCUCUUUCUGACCAAAUUAUAUAAUUACUGAAAGUGUCAAUGGUAGAGGAAUUCUGGAGAGCCUUAUGCAUUUAGGAAUAUUUCUAAAAAUUCUAAUUUAAAAAAAUAGGAAGAAGAAGAAGAAGAAGAAGAAGAAGAAGAAGAAGAAGAAGAAGAAGAAGAAGAAGAAGAAGAAGAAGAAGAAGAAGAAGAAAAAGAAGAAGCAGCAGAAAUUGUGAAACAAAUAAGCUGUUAUAUCACCAAAAUCCCUCCCCUCACCUCCACUUUUUUCAUACACACCCAAAUGAGAAAAAAGUAAUUUAAAGUAUCCUCUAAUGUUUGACAUACUAAAAGCUAAGAAACUCCAAGAUAAUUUAGAUAAAUCAAAUAUUUUCUUCCUUUCAUUUCCCAGAUCUGUGAUUUAUAAGCAAGACCUAUGUGCUUUAUCCAUUGUGAACCCUCCUCAUCCUCAUUCAAUCUUGGAGACCAGCAUUUUCAGAAACAAAUAAUCCUUAAAAAAAUAAGAAGCCAGAGAGGGAUGAGUAAGGGGUGUGUGUGUGUGUGUGUGUGUGUGUGUGUGUGUCUUUCACAUCUAUGAGCAAAAGCAGCUUUCUACAACAAAAAGCAAUGCAAUCUUGUUGCCUUGAAUUGCCAUAGGGGGAAAUCAUCUUUUUCCCCCAAGGAGAAAUUUUUAGUCACUCAUCCAGUGCAAUAAAUGACAGUUUUUCUGUCAAUGUAGGGUUUUUUUUUAACUUCUCACACAAAAAGCCUAAAGCUUGGAUAUUUGUAGGAAUGGCCUUCUCUUCCCUUCCCCUGCAAAAUUGCCCUGCUCCUCACCCCAUUUAACUAUGAGAAUGUUAAAGACAAUUACAUGAACUUUAUAUCUGAUGGCAAGAUAUCAUAUUUAUUUUUUAUUGUCAAGAAGAGUCUUUUGGUACUUUUUUCUUUUGCACCCUUAGGCCCUGUGAGAAUAUCCAGGUAUGGGCAUUCUGAGGAACCAUAACUGACAUCCUCCUUUUUUGUUUUUGUUUUUGUUUUGUUUUCUACCACUUUCUCAAUGAGGACAAGUCCAGGGUUAUGAUAUACAUAUGUCAUCACACAUGUAUAUUACAUAUACAUAUGAUAUACAUAUGUCCCCACAUGUCACCUUUAGACUUUAGCAGUUAUUGCCAAAGCAGGUUGAUUGUUCUUCAUCAGAUCAGUAACACUGAAUAUUAAUUGACAUUCAUGGUAUAUAAAAGUUCUGAUUUGUUUUGUCUAUGUCCAUUAACAAGGUCUUGUUCAAUAAUGAGAGCUUCCAUUUAUUGGCAACUUGCCCUGUGCCUGGCAUUGUACUCAUAUCCUUCAUACAUUUCCCAUGUAAUAUUUUCAACAAUGUGCAAAGAAUGGUGGUUGUCCAUAUUUUGUAGAGUAAUUGCCAUUAAAUUUUGAAUAGCAGUUUCAGCCAUAAUAUGCAUAAGAAGAGUAUUCAGUUUCCACUGCUGCUGUAACAAAUAACCAUAACUGUAGUAACUUAAACCAACCCCCAGUUGUUACCUCAAUCCUGUAGACCAAAAAUCUGGCCAGGGCUCCUCUGGGUUCUCUGCUCAGGUUGAAAUAAGAUGAAAAUCUUGUUUCUGGGUUCUCAUCUUGUUUCUGGCUGGGUUCUCAUCAGGAGCUGAAGGUCUUCUUCCAAGCUUAUUAAGAUUUUUGGCAGAAUUCAAUUUAUUGUGGCUGUAGGGACUCAUGGGGACUUCUUUAAAGAGAGCAGGAGAGUAUCUGCUGUCACUCAACUCAGUCAACUGAUUAGGGACCUUAAUUACAUUUGGAAAAAUCUCUUUUGCUUUAUAAGGAAACAUAAUCACUGAAAUUAUAUUCUAUCAUAUUCACUGUUUCUACUCCCAAUCAAUUGGGAGAAGAUUAUAAUGAGCACAUACACCAGAAAAUGAGGAUUUGGGGGUUCAUCAUAGAAUUCUACCUACACAAAGGGGGUUGCCAUUUUUCCCCAUUGGCAACCAUAUGGACAUUUCCUAGAAACACUGCAAAUAGUUUUAUUUUUAAAAAAAUAUUUAAUAGUGUGAAAUUAAAUUUUGAAAAAAAUUAAAAUGUUUAGCUUUAUUAAGAACAUUUUAUUUAUUUUUAUCUUGAUAUUCAUUCAUGCUCAUUUGGAUCUUAUUUUUUAGAUACUUUAAAAAUUAGCUAUGGAGUAUCUAAAAAAUAAUUUUAGUGGUUUGAUGUUUUUUACAUUUCCUGAUUGACAUUUACUCAUGGGAGAGGCUGUGCACAUGGAUCUCAAGUGUCCCUACACAUAACUUCUGAGUGUGUCAAACCAUAAGGCCUAACUGCCCUCCCUCUGAGUGAUCCUAUAGCUAGAAACAUAACCAAUUCAGUUGAUUAAGGUCUCCACAACAUGAGUAUCCUGCAACUGCUUACUUCUUAAGACUGAGGCUAUUUUGGAUCUUUUCAUAUAGUCUGCCAUUUGAAUAUCUCUCAAAUAAAUUAGAAAGUAACAGACUCAUCUAAUUUAAUAAAUGGGAAAAGACUUGAACAGUCACUUCACAAGUGAGCCAUGAUGCCGUUUAUGCAUCUUAAACUGGGGAUAUGCUAUGGUUAACUAAGAAAACUAACUUCACAGCAACAAACUCCGCUAAUUUGGGACUCAUCAAAAUGUAGAUCAGGAAUGCUAACAUGUGACAGUGCCAACACCUGCUGAGGCUUCAGUCUUCUGAGGAGUUGGUGAGUUAUCUAAUGUACAAUGUAGAAGAACAGACAGGUACUAGUUAACUUGAAGAUGCAUCACUUCAUCUCAUCAAUAGUUCUCUAGCCGUGCGUGGUGGCACAUGCAUGUAAUCCCAGCUACUUGGGAGGCUGAGGCAGGAGAUUCUAUUGAACCUGGGAGGCAGAAGUUGCAGUGAGCUGAGAUUGCGCGGCUGUACUCCAGCCUGGGCAACAGGAGAGACUCUGUCUCAAAAUAAAUAAACAAACAAACAAAUAAAUAAAUAUAAACAUUGUAACAUUAGUGAUAUAGUUUGGGUAGUUGUCACUUCCAGAACUCAUGUUCACAUCUGCUCUCCAGUGUUAGUGGUGGAGCCUAGUGGAAAGUGUUCUGGCUUUAAGACAGAGCACUCAUGAAUGGCUUGGUGCCAUUAUGGCAGUAGAGUGAGUUCUUGCUCUGUUAGUCCCCAGGAGAAAUGACAGUUAAAAAGAAUGUGGAACCUCCCUCCCCUCUCUCUUUCUUCCUCUCUUGCCAUGUAAUCUCUGCACAUGCUGGCUCCCUUUUCCCUUUCACUAUGAGUGGAAGUAACCCAUGGCCCUCACCAGAAGUAGAUGCUGGUGCCAUGCUUCUUGCAUAGCUUGCAAGAACAGUGAGCCAAAUUAACCUCUUUUCGUUAGUUUCUCUAACACCAGUGUCAGAUGUUCCCUUAUAGCAAUACAAAUGGCUAUCAAAAUUUACAGAUGAAUCCAGAGAAACAUAUGACUAUUUUAUUUGUUUAUGUAUGUCAUAUUCCACAAACUUGAUAAAAUAACUUGGUCCUCUAUGAACUAGUUAUACCUGUGAAAUUAUACCAUAAAGCAAAGAAGCAAAAUAACAUGACAAAAUGAGCUAACUAGUAGAGUUCUAAAGAGCUAAAUUAAGCAGUAAUAAA
rnacentral:lncRNA from 1 species